AUUGAACGCUGGCGGCAUGCCUUACACAUGCAAGUCGAACGACGUUACGGGGGCAACUCCGUAGCGAGUGGCGAACGGGUGAGUAAUGCAUCGGAACGUGCCCUCUUGUGGGGGAUAACCAGUCGAAAGAUUGGCUAAUACCGCAUGAGCUCGAGAGAGGAAAGCGGGGGAUCCGCAAGGACCUCGCGCGAGAGGAGCGGCCGAUGCCCGAUUAGCUAGUUGGUGGGGAAAAGCCCACCAAGGCGACGAUCGGUAGCUGGUCUGAGAGGACGACCAGCCGCACUGGGACUGAGACACGGCCCAGACUCCUACGGGAGGCAGCAGUGGGGAAUUUUGGACAAUGGGGGCAACCCUGAUCCAGCCAUGCCGCGUGUGUGAAGAAGGCC
rnacentral:rRNA from 1 species